UUCCACGAUACGGCCGUUUCCCUCCUUGUCACCGGAGAGGAGUUGGGUUCUUUCUCAUCUCUCCUUAUCAAGAUGUGCCUAUAGAGUUCACCGUGGCUUCCACCUCACUGAUACUGAGCUGCCUUCCUGCGUAUGGUUAGUCAGUCGGUGGAUAACAACCAGUUAGUCCAGCCCUUAAUCACAGUGCUCCUUUGUAAAGAACUCGUUCCGCAGCCCAUUCAAGUCCAGCGAGCCAUGCUCGGAGGUGAUCUCACAUCACCUGUCAGGACGUCGACCCCUUCACUUUGACUUUGAAGACUUGCUACAAUGCAGUUGAGGGUGCAGGCCCGUCCCUGCCACUUCUGGGUGUACUGCUGCAGCUCCCGGUCCCAGGGCAGGGGCUGGAGCUGAACCACGCUGAAGAUACCUCGGCCGUCCUGGACCAGCGCGCACAGCCUGAUGGGACGCAGAGGGGGACCGGACCGCACGUCAACAACAGGACUCUCGUUCAUUCAAUGCAUUCACCAUAAGACCAUGUCUGAUUAGAGGAGGAAUUAUAAGUGUGCACAAGUGUGGGGUCGGCUUAGCUCAGGAGGUAGAGCAGUUGUCUUGUAACCGAAAGGUUGCUAGUUCGAUCUCCAGCUCCUCCUAGCUGAGGGUUGAUGUGUCCCUGAGCAAGACACUUAACCCUAACUGCUCCUGACGAGCUGGCUGUCGCCUUGCAUGGUUGACUCUGCCGUCGAUGUGUCGGUGUGUCAAUGUGUGUAUUAACUGAUGUAAGUCGCUUUGGAUAAAAGCGUCUGCUAAAUGCCCUAAAUGUAAAAUGUAAAUGUAAGUGUGUGUGUGAAUAGGAGUAUGUAAGUGUGGAUUAUUGGAGUAUAUUUAUAUUGGAGCAUGAAUAAGAGUAUGUAUUAUCAGAGAAUGAUUAAGAGUAUGAAUAAUUAGAGCAUUUAUUAUUACGGUAUGAGUAAGAGUGGUUUGAGCAGUCAUUAUUUCGAGUAUGCAUAAUGAUAUUAAAAUCGCAUUUAAAGAUCGUUAGACCGUUAGAUGAUGUCAUUGUCUACGACAGCAUGGAGUGGCCACGUGUUCAACGAUAGGUUAAUCAAUAGUAAUCAGUGAUGUCGUCUGUAAAACUAUAGGAGGUCUAGCUAACAAGUGGGAUCGGUGCUGUGUUCCAGUACUAGCAUUUAAAUCAAAAUGACUGACAUGCGGUUAAACGCAACCAUCAGUGAAAGAGGAAGGCAGGAAAAAUUAGGCUCAUGUGAAUGAGAAGUGCAGCAAGCAACACUUGGAGGAUUCACUUUGACUAACACAUUAUCCCUAGUCAACCACUAGGCCCUGUUUCAAGAAACUGGAUUACCAGUUUAACCCGAAUAUAAAUCCCCCUGGCGUCUAAUCUCGGGAGCCUAAGCCAGAGAUAAUCCUGUUGCUUUAGUAGCCGGACUUUUGACUAUUGGUUUCGGUUAUGUCAACGGAUAAUUUAAUAGCAUUUUUCCUCAUUGUUUUACUAUUUUACCGUUUAUUUAACCUUUAUUUAACCAGGAAAGUCCCAUUGAGAUUAAAAACCUCUUUUUCGAGGGAGUCCUGGCCAAGAGGCAGCAACAAAUAACAUAUGUACACUCAAAAUAUUACUCUCACAACAUAUAGACAGAAAUUAAAAUGAUAAAAAGCUGUUAUCAAUUACAAUAAUAAAAAACAGUUACAAGUAAAUUAAAAUUUAUAAAAAACAUCUACAAGUAAAAGAGGUGGUCUGAAAUGCUCUCAGCUUAGAUUUAAAAGCGUUCAAAGAAAUCAUUUCGGUUAAUUUUAAAUCUUUUUGCAGCCAGUUCCAUGUGGUGGGAGCAGAGUGGACGAAUGCCCCUUUUCCUAAUUCAGUGCGGGCAAAUGGAACCGACAGAAGCAUCUGAUUGUUUGAACGCAGACUGUAAGAAGCAACAGAAGCAACCUUGACAAUCAACUCUACGUGACAGGUCUCAAUUGAAGUUAUUAACUCUGUAUUUAGAACACACUUCAUCCAAGUGUUGAACCAUAAAACCUCUGGCGAUAGUAGAUGGGGCUUCAACCAGCCUCUACUAUGAUGACGUUGUGCAUAUGAAGGGACUAACCUGACCAAUAAAAGCACUGAAUAGCAA